AUGGUCGGUAGUUCCUACUCCAAGAGAAGUUGAUUGGAAGCGCCUCUAUGAACUCUAUAAAUUGAAGCCGGGGAUACCGGUCUGGCUGGAAUUUCGUGACGGAGCGAAUGAAUGUUCGACGAGUGUAAUGAAUGCAUGUGAGGAUGAGGAUGAAUGUGGCGAGGAACUACUGGUUUGGCUGCAAUUUGCGCCCCGGAGUCAGCAAAGCGGAGUGCUGCUUUUAUAGCAAUCGGUUAUGCUGAUCUGAAUCGGAUUCAGUAUGGUGCUUUUCAGGAUGGAAAGUCCAAGAUUGAUAGCGGCCAUGAAAGUGCCGAUUAUGUACAGUCUGAAGAUUUUGUAUGAGAUCUCAGUGGUUUAUUUUACGUAAGUGACCUUGUUGAUUUUACGUAAGGAUUGAACCCUAUGUUCUGCUUAUUAAAAAAAAAAAAAAAAAAAGA